UUGGAGGGCAAGUCUGGUGCCAGCAGCCGCGGUAAUUCCAGCUCCAAUAGCAUAUAUUAAAGUUGUUGCAGUUAAAAAGCUCGUAGUUGAAUUUCGGAAUUCAUCCUUUGGUCGGGCUUAACUGUCCGCACUGGUGUGGUGGGUUUCUACCUUCUGAAUAACCGGCAUGUCAUUAAUUUGGUGCGCCGGGGAAGCAGGACUGUUACCUUGAAAAAAUUAGAGUGCUUAAAGCAGGCAAUCGCCUGAAUACAUUAGCAUGGAAUAAUGAAAUAGGACGGCAUGGUUCUAUUUUGUUGGUUUCUAGGAUUGACGUAAUGAUUAAUAGGGAUAGUUGGGGGCAUUAGUAUUCAAUUGUCAGAGGUGAAAUUCUUGGAUUUAUUGAAGACUAACUACUGCGAAAGCAUUUGCCAAGGAUGUUUUCAUUAAUCAAGAACGAAAGUUAGGGGAUCGAAGACGAUCAGAUACCGUCGUAGUCUUAACCAUAAACUAUGCCGACUAGGGAUCGGAUGAUGUUAAUUUUUUAAUGACUCAUUCGGCGCCUUACGGGAAAC
rnacentral:rRNA from 1 species